GACCCCCGUGGAUGUUGCAGGAAAGGAAAGGAGAAUCGCGAGCGAGGACAAAGAGGGCCUGCCUUCACCUGCAGCAGAAUUCCCCAACCCACCAAGGAUUUGAGACCCAUCAGCUUUCCUAACCUGGUUUUGCUGGCCGGUUGAAGCCGUUGCUUGGAUCGCGGCCCCUGUUGCAUGCUGACAGCUUCUGGAAGCCACAGGAUUUCCUUUCCGCC